AUUGAACGCUGGCGGCAGGCCUAACACAUGCAAGUCGGGCGAGUGGCGGACGGGUGAGUAAUGCUUGGGAAUCUAGCUUAUGGAGGGGGAUAACUACGGGAAACUGUAGCUAAUACCGCGUACCAUAGGAUGAGCCCAAGUGGGAUUAGGUAGUGGGUGAGGUAAAGGCUCACCAAGCCGACGAUCUCUAGCUGGUCUGAGAGGAUGACAGGCCACACGGUGACGGGGACACGGCCCAGACUCCUACGGGAGGCAGCAGUGGUGAAUAUUGCGCAAUGGGGGCAACCCUGACGCAGCCAUGCCGCGUGUAUGAAGAAGGCCUUAGGGUUGUAAAGUACUUUCAGCGGGGAGGCGUUACCCGCAGAAGAAGCACCGGCUAACUCCGUGCCAGCAGCCGCGGUAAUAC
rnacentral:rRNA from 1 species